rnacentral:rRNA from 1 species
GCUUGUCUCAAAGAUUAAGCCAUGCAUGUCUCAGUAUAAGCGCUUACAAUGCGAAGCUGUGAAUGGCUCAGCAAAAGCAGAGCGUUUCUUUGGUGGUCAUUGAUUACAUGGAUAACCGUGGUUAUUUUAGAGCUACUAUACAUGCGUCCAGACCCAACUUGUAGGAAGGAUUGUAGGUACAGAGCCAAUGCAGGCUCCGCAUGUGUGUGAUUCAUGUUAACCGAACGAAUCGCAUGGCACCAGCUGGCGAUGGACCAUUUGAGUGUCUGACCUAUCAGCUUCCCACGGUAGGAUAUGGGCCUACCGUGGCAAUGGCGGGUAACGGACACUUAGGCUUCGAUUCCGGAGAGGGAGCCUGAUAAACGGCUACCACGCCGAAGGAAGGCAGCAGG